rfam:Triticum aestivum genome assembly, contig: Triticum_aestivum_CS42_TGACv1_scaffold_577537_7BL
UUGCUACUCCCUCUGUUUGGAAUUACUUGUCGCAAAAAUGGAUGUAUCUAAAACUAAAAUACGUCUAGAUGCAUCCAUCUCUGCGACAAGUAAUUCCGAACGGAGGGAGUACUAC